GGAAACUGGAAUUAAUACCGCAUACGCCCUACGGGGGAAAGAUUUAUCGGGGAAGGAUUGGCCCGCGUUGGAUUAGCUAGUUGGUGGGGUAAAGGCCUACCAAGGCGACGAUCCAUAGCUGGUCUGAGAGGAUGAUCAGCCACAUUGGGACUGAGACACGGCCCAAACUCCUACGGGAGGCAGCAGUGGGGAAUAUUGGACAAUGGGCGCAAGCCUGAUCCAGCCAUGCCGCGUGAGUGAUGAAGGCCUUAGGGUUGUAAAGCUCUUUCACCGGAGAAGAUAAUGACGGUAUCCGGAGAAGAAGCCCCGGCUAACUUCGUGCCAGCAGCCGCGGUAAUACGAAGGGGGCUAGCGUUGUUCGGAAUUACUGGGCGUAAAGC
rnacentral:rRNA from 1 species